rnacentral:rRNA from 1 species
AGGAUGAACGCUAGCGGCAGGCUUAACACAUGCAAGUCGAGGGGCAGCGUGAUGAAGUAGCAAUACUGAUUUGACGGCGACCGGCGCACGGGUGCGUAACGCGUAUGUAACCUACCCUUAACAGGGGGGAUAACACUGAGAAAUUGGUACUAAUUCCCCAUAACACUCUGGGAGGCAUCUCCUGGGGUUGAAAGUUCCGGCGGUUUGAGAUGGACAUGCGUUGUAUUAGCUAGUUGGUGAGGUAACGGCUCACCAAGGCGACGAUACAUAGGGGGACUGAGAGGUUAACCCCCCACACUGGUACUGAGACACGGACCAGACUCCUACGGGAGGCAGCAGUGAGGAAUAUUGGUCAAUGGGCGGAAGCCUGAACCAGCCAAGUAGCGUGAAGGAUUACAGCCCUACGGGUUUUAAACUUCUUUUAUAUAAGAGUAAUGUGCACUACGUGUAGUGUAUUGCAAGUAUUAUAUGAAUAAGCAUCGGCUAACUCCGUG